GUGCUCGCUCCAGCAGCACGUGUACCAAAACUGGAAUGGCAGACACAGAGCAGGGCAGCACGGCCCCUGCGCACGGAUGACACGUAAGUUCAUGAAGCGUUCCACAUGUUU